rnacentral:rRNA from 1 species
UACGUAGGUCCCGAGCGUUGUCCGGAUUUAUUGGGCGUAAAGCGAGCGCAGGUGGUUUAAUAAGUCUGAUGUAAAAGGCAGUGGCUCAACCAUUGUGUGCAUUGGAAACUGUUAGACUUGAGUGCAGUAGAGGAGAGUGGAAUUCCAUGUGUAGCGGUGAAAUGCGUAGAUAUAUGGAAGAACACCGGUGGCGAAAGCGGCUCUCUGGACUGUAACUGACACUGAGGCUCGAAAGCGUGGGUAGCAAACAGG